rnacentral:rRNA from 1 species
UACGUAGGGGGCAAGCGUUAUCCGGAAUUAUUGGGCGUAAAGCGUGCGUAGGCGGAAUGUUAAGUCAUUUGUAAAAGAUCUCAGCCCAACUGAGUAAGGCGAAUGAAACUGGCAAUCUUGAAUACGGUAGAGGUAAGUGGAAUUCCAUGUGUAGCGGUGGAAUGCGUAGAUAUAUGGAGGAACACCGAUGGCGAAGGCAGCUUACUGGGCCGGAAUUGACGCUGAGGCACGAAAGCGUGGGGAGCAAACAGGAUUAGAUACCCUGGUAGUCCACGCCGUAAACGAUGAGAACUAAGUGUUGGGGUAAAACUCAGUGCUGAAGUUAACGCAUUAAGUUCUCCGCCUGGGUAGUACGGUCGCAAGACUGAA